rnacentral:rRNA from 1 species
UACAGAGGGCGCGAGCGUUGUCCGGAAUCACUGGGCGUAAAGGGCGCGUAGGCGGCUAGAUGUGUCAAAGGUGAAAUCCCUCGGCUCAACCGAGGAACUGCGUCUGAUACUGGAAGGCUUGAAUCCGGGAGAGGGAUGUGGAAUUCCAGGUGUAGCGGUGAAAUGCGUAGAUAUCUGGAGGAACACCGGUGGCGAAGGCGGCAUCCUGGACCGGUAUUGACGCUGAGGCGCGAAAGCUAGGGGAGCAAACGGG